UCAGCAACUCUCAGCGUGAAAAAAUGUUUCCUGAAGUCAUGGGAGCUGUGCUGUUUUCUUACUUUGUAUAUUUUACAGCAUCAAAAAAAAAGAGCAAAUCGACACAUUGGAUAGUCCGAGGUGAGAGUGUAAGAAAAACGACGAGAUGGUCAUUGUUGGAAUGGGUUUUAUUCGUAAAUCAAUUUCAACCAAGGACCUAGCUAAGAUAAUUAGCGUCAGUGUCAGCGAACGGCAAGUUUGAAUGGGAAUCUAUGGGAGAUAACUUGUUUAUACUUCCGUUGUCAAUGUGUAGGCAUGUGCUUUUAGCUCAAACCUCCGGCAAGAUUCGAACUAAACUCGCAGCGACUUUGUCGACAUAGAAAGCCGGCGUUUGUUAUUUUCCUUUCAAAUAUAUUUACAGCAAUUGACUUUUUGCUGAAGAAUGUGACCAUUUGGGAGUACUGUUGGGAAGGGAAAGAGAAAAGCUUUGUGAUCUGGCCUUUGCAUGAAUGUCAGAAUACAAACGAGCCAAGAAAAAUUUACUUUUUGUUGUGGAAAGGUUGCUUG